rnacentral:lncRNA from 1 species
CGCCGACAUAUUUUUCGUAUGCAAAGUGUCCUUAGCGUGACCCUUUUCGUAAAAAUCCGGUUAUCGCAAUACGCAUGUAUCUGUCAUUAAAAUAAAACAAAUAUCUGAUUGUACAUGUUAAACACGUGCUCAAUAUCCAGGAUUUAUUGUUGAUUGUUUACUAUAAGGUGAUGAUCGGUAAACUACGGCUUCAAAACAUGACAAUUAAGUAGCUGCCAUUUUAUUCACCUCGUAACAGACAGAGAGAAAAAAAUUGACGAUUGUACGAUACAUUUGCGUAAAAAAUGAUAAAAUCGUGCACAGAAGACUUAGUUUAUGAUAUAUACAUGCAUUGGUUCAAGAUUUGGAUAAACCUUAUUUUUCACCAGUCACUCGUUUCAUAUGACUUAAACGUCUACCGGAAAGAAAAAUGAUAAAAAACGAGUUCGUAAAAGUAAAUUGAUGUUGCGGAUACUGCUUGAGUGCAUGUAACAUUUAUCAUUGUUUAUUGUUCGUCUUCUAUUAUUUGUUUAAUAUGCUUUUAUUUUACCAAAUUUGUUCGAAAGAACUUCGGUAGAAAACUUUUGUCAAAUUUUUGUUGCUUCUAUGAAAAAAGUUAAAUCACAAAAUACUCAGGAAAAUACAAAACGGGAAGUUCCUAAUCAAAUAGCAAAACUAAAAGCUCAAACACAUCAAACGAAUUGAUUACAACUUAGUACUUUGUUAAAAUUCCAUUAUAUUGACAACGAUUUGUUAACUAAACAAACAGACAUAAUAGGUGAUAAAGUCCAAAAUAGGGGUAAAGCAAUCAACAUGGCGUUAUCUUAAUUACUAUGAAAGCAAAUAGAUUUGUAACAAAAAGGCACACACAGGGAUAAAGACAAAGCACAUUAGCAUGAAUGACAUGAAUACAAAAAAUUACCAUAGCACAAUAAGACAAUGACGGGAUAUAUAAGUACAGAGCCACGUCACGUAACAAAGAAACACAAAAGGCAUACAGACAAAGCACAUUAGCAACAAUUAAGGCACGAAUACAUUUUUUUACCAUAGGUUGCAAAACACAGUUAGGAAAAAAAAUUAAAAUUGACACUCAUAAAUUUUAAACACUCUCUUUCCUUCCUUUCUAACGAAUAAAGCUUAACAUUUGUGUUAUGCAUGUGAAUAUUUAUGGAAAGAGAAUCUAUCAUAGAUUUCAUUUCCAAUAGUUAUAAUGGUGAAAUAUAAUCUCACCUAAUUUUUGAUGUAACCAUUGCAACAAUUUGCAUUUAUUUGAUACAAAAUAUGGCAAAAAGCGGGGUGAAAAUGUCACAAAAGUCGCCAAAAUUGGAUCCAAAGGUAAAUGUCAAUCAAUUAGCGUGAUAACUUUCCUGAUAUCACCAAAGCAGAUUAAAAAGCAAAAAGAAUAGUCAUUAGGAUGAAUAAUUUUUAUCUAUAACACGUUAUUAAGGAUGUACACCUCUGAGGAGCCAAAAAAUUCUAGAAUUAAACUUUUUUCCUAACCUGAUUUUUGGGUUGAUAUGACUGUAAAAUAAUAAUUGGUUGAGAAAAAAUCAUAUGGUGGUGUGCUUCUUUUUUUGCUAAGUACCCAAUUUUGAUGAUUUUUCCAUUUUUCAUAAAUUUUUGGGCCAUUAUCGUGAAAAAAAUCACAGUUCUACAAUGAAACUUUUUUUUAUACUUUCAAUAAAGAUGAAGG